UGAGCUAACAAUCAUAAAGGAACUCGGCAAACUAACUACCGUAACUUCGGGAUAAGGAGAGCUCAUUAGUCCUGAUUAAUAUCGGGUAAAAAGGAAGAAGCAUAAAAUAGUGUUGUACGACUGUUUAAUUAAAACACAGCACUUUGCUAAAAGAUUAAAAAUCGAAGUAUUGAGUGUGAUGUCUGCCCGAUGCCGGCUGGUUAACGAAUUUAACUAAAUUCUCAAAAAGUUUGGUGUUGAAGGAACCCCCGGUUAAUGGCGGCCUUAACGUGAGGGUCCUAAGGUAGCGAAAUGCCUUGGCCGUUAAAUGCGGUCUUGCAUGAAUGAUGUAACGAUACAACAGCUGUCUCUAUGAUUGACUCA
rnacentral:rRNA from 1 species